AGUCUGUAAGAUUGUACAUGUUACAUCCUAGUCUGCAUUUUAUUAUUAGAAACAGUACUGUUUGGAGAUGAAACCUAUGGCAUGACCCCAGGAUGUAUCCCAGAUAUGACUGGCUACAAUCAACACCUAACUAGAUGUGGAGAUGGCUUUAUUGCUGGAGUCAUUCAUGCAGACCAUCGGAAUAAUGGUACAAUGUUCAUUUAUUUAUUUGUUAUUUUUCUAAUGACUUGAGAAACACUAUCUAAUGAGCUCUUAGAAGUGUCAUUUCAAGUGUAUGUCUAUUCACUAUUUAUCGUAAUGAACACUUUAAAACCACAUUAUCUGUUCUAAAUCAGCUCGGGCAUCUCGUCAAAUGCUGUCAGUGAAUGUUGCAGUGACUGUGUCUGCUAUAUCGGCACCAAUGAACACUCGCAACCAACCAGGAGGUCGUCACAUGGACCCACCUUUUACUGAUGGUUUCUCUGGUUGGGACAGAGAUGAACAACACGAGGAGGCGGAGAGAAAUGUGCGUCUGAAGGAGAAGAAGAAAAAAGCUGGAAGAAGGAGGAAAAGAUCCCGCCAUGCUGGUCAUUAGAGGGGCUAAAGAUCUGACCAGCAUGUUUCAGAUCAAAUAUUUAAAAAAUAUUCAUAGGAAUUUCACUGUUUUGUUCUUUUUGGUUUACUUAUUUUAAGAUGUGGUCACAUUUACCAUUUGGCGAAUUUUUGCAGGUAAAGUGCAGUCAUUUCAAUCUAC
rnacentral:lncRNA from 1 species